ensembl:lncRNA
AUGAGCAAGCUUCAGUGGUUGCAGUACUCGAGUAACUGCAGUACUCGAGUGGUUGCAGUACUCGAACUCAGCUGCUCCACAAGGAAGGCAGUCCUGGCCUCGCCCUGCCCCACACAUCUGCCCAGGCUCAGAGUGGCCUCUGCUCAAAGACACCAGUGCAAAUACAAACAGAGGUCAGUAGCGCUUAGCCUGAGCAAGCACGCGUGGCCAGCUCCAGGCCUGUCCUCGGUGCUCCGCAGGAAGCCGCAGAGGGCGGGCUGGCGGGCAGCGAGGAGGCGGCCCCCACCCUCUCGGGCGCCACUGCUCAGACGUGGUGGGCGCCUGCAGCAGGGAGGUGACGGUGUUCUGCAGGGCCACGCCACCUUCUUGGAGGUCUUGCGCAGCAGUGGGCUGUCGGGAUGGUGCUCCUUGAGGUGGAGGACAUGGCCCUCCUGGCUCUCGGACGUGCAGCCGCACUCCUCGCACACGCACAGCUUGGCCCGCCGCCUGUACGCUGCAUUUCUGCUGCACACCGUGGAUCUUCUUGAGGUGGGACUCCAGAGAGCAGCGCUGCGUGAAGGCCUUGUCACACAGGCUGCACUUGUAGGGCCGCACGCCUGCGGGAGGGUAGCGCGGCCAGGGACCCAGCUCUGGGGCACAGGAGUCCCAGCGGCCUGACAGAGGGACGAGGAAGUCCGCUCAACGCCCGGCCCCCGCCAUGGCCGUGCAGCUGCUGGGCCUCGCUGGGCGGGCCCUCUCACCUGUGUGGGUGCGCACAUGCCUCUUGAGGUCGAAGGUGUCGUUGAAGCCCUUCCGCAGUAGGUGCAGAGGUGCCUCUUGACGUCAUUGUGGCACUUCAUGUGGCGGUUCAGCAUGCGCUGGUAGGUGAAGGCCUUCUGGCAGAUGUGGCAGGUGAAGAGGUCUCCACUGGGACCAUCCCCAGUGUCACCUGUGGGCGAGGGCGUGUGUGUGAUAGACACCCAGGAGCUGGGGCUGCAGGUGGCAGAUGGGGAAGAUGCACUGUGCCAGCCCCCAGCCCCGAGGAGGGGUGCUGCCCACCCAGGGCCACACCUCUGGGCCGCUGGCUCCCGGAGAUGGGGUGGUGGGGCGGAAGCCUCCUUGGGUCCUCGGUCAGCCUCCUGUUGGGCUCCUGAGUCCCUCUGCGAGGCCCUUCUUUGCCGUCACUAAAGACAGCCGGCCAGCUCCCGACAGAAAGAGGGCAACCUCCUGGCAGAAAGCCCGCCCGCUGAGCCUGGGCGCCCUCUAGCUGCUGCUCAGUUCUCAGUCUGCGCCUCAGGAAGGGAAGGCUCCACACGCGGUCCUGGUCUCCGCGCCGCCCUCCGAGGCUGAGGCCACCGCUGGGGCCCGGAGCUGCCUCGCCUCACAGGCCAGCCCAGCCCCGGCCUUUCUUGAGCCUGACAUGGUCUAGUCUGAGUCCCUGCCACCCUGAUGAUUCUCUUUAUAAAGGUUUUUCAUAUUCAGGGUAACCGUGCAACACCUCAGGUCUGUUCAGGAAUGGAGACGUGGGCUCCAGGCCCUAGCUCUGAACGCUCAGAGGCUGCUUGUGCUUCGUGGUGGCCUGCCGCUGGCGACGCCACCUGAGCUCCCGGCCCAAGGCCCCAUCACCCAUACCGCCUGGCCCUGCGCUGCCCUUGGCACUGGUAGAGGCUGUGUUGCUCACUGAGCAAGCUGUUUGGGGUCAGGACUCACUUCUCUGGCUCGUCUACGGUCCCGUGCCCUCUGCUUUCCCUCCACGUGCUCCCUAGCUGCUGGGGCUCAAGGGCUGGGAGGAGAGGCCCUGGGGAUCGGGCGCCGUGUCAGCUCCCUGUCAGCCGCCCAGCGCAUUUCCUGGUGCUGCCCACCCAGGGCCACACCUCUGGGCCGCUGGCUCCCGGAGAUGGGGUGGUGGGGCCGGAAGCCUCCUUGGGUCCUCGGUCAGCCUCCUGUUGGGCUCCUGAGUCCCUCUGCGAGGCCCUUCUUUGCCGUCACUAAAGACAGCCGGCCAGCUCCCGACAGAAAGAGGGCAACCUCCCUGGCAGAAAGCCCGCCUCGCUGAGCCUGGGCGUCCUCUAGCUGCUGCUCAGUUCUCAGUCUGCGCCUCAGGAAGGGAAGGCUCCACACGCGGUCCUGGUCUCCGCGCCUCCGAGGCUGAGGCCACCGCUGGGGCCCGGAGCUGCCUCGCCUCACAGGCCAGCCCAGCCCCGGCCUUUCUUGAGCCUGACAUGGUCUAGUCUGAGUCCCUUUGCCACCCUGAUGAUUCUCUUUAUAAAGGUUUUUCAUAUUCAGGGUAACCGCAACACCUCAGGUCUGUUCAGGAAUGGAGACGGGCUCCAGGCCCUAGCUCUGAACGCUCAGAGGCUGCUUGUGCUUCGUGGUGGCCUGCCGCUGGCGACGCCACCUGAGCUCCCGGCCCAAGGCCCCAUCACCCAUACCGCCUGGCCCUCGCUGCCCUUGGCACUGGGUAGAGGCUGUGUUGCUCACUGAGCAAGCUGUUUGGGGUCAGGACUCACUUCUCUGGCUCGUCUACGGUCCCGUGCCUCUGCUUUCCCUCCACGUGCUCCCUAGCUGCUGGGGCUCAAGGGCUGGGAGGAGAGGCCCUGGGGAUCGGGCGCCGUGUCAGCUCCCUGUCAGCCGCCCAGCGCAUUUCCUGGUGAUGCCCGGCAGGUUACAACACCUGGCCUCCACGGGUGAGAGGAGGAGCAGCCUUUCCUGCCAGUUUUCCAGUCCCUUGGCUCACAGGAAGCUCCGUGAGAGCCCUUCCACUAGAUCACCACUGGCAGCUGCUUCCAGGUUCCAGCACUUUCAGGAAUGCAGGCCUCGUGCUCCUGGAAAGCAGGGCCGUUUCCGCCACCCUGUGCUUCUUCCUGCCUCGGCUGCUGAACUGGGGCUCACCAGGCCCGCCCCAGAUGCAAGGCCCUGGGUCGGAAGCGUACACUUGGGCGAGGCAGAGACUGCUGGGCACACGCCUCAGGGGACAGCUGACCACUGGGCAGACCUAGACCUCACUCUUGAGGCAGCGGAGACGCAGGCCAGGCCAAGGCGCAGAGCCAGGCUCACGCCUCCCGCUCUUCCAAGGACUUCUGUGUAAGGGCUGCCUCCCCUCAAGGCCAGAAACAAAACUAAACAACCCCACAAAGGACUCCAAAGGGCUGGACAUCUCUUGAACCCUACUGCUUCUCCCCAAUGCAUGGCAUUCUCACUUCAGACUCACUUUUCUUUCCCACCCUGUCUAUGCCCCAGGGAGGUUCACAUCUGUAGAAAUAUGGACCCAGAUCCAAAGCCAGUCUGCCUAAUCUCAUUUGGGCCACAUCUAGUGGGUGGGACCCAUGUGGACCCACGUGCGCUGGGCCUCAGGGACACUGUGAGGGUCAGUACCUUCAUCUUGGUGCGCAGAAAGCCGUGGUCUCUGCUCUGCGGGCCUGCCAGACGGCUCAUGUCUCGGAGGGCAGCUGGGCCACCACGCAGGGCCCGGGGUCACGCUAUAGCUGGAGUUCCAAGGCUCAUGUCCAAAGCCAGGGGCAAGAAGGGGUUCGGCCACCGAUGGCUCUGGUUCCUGGUAGGGCUGUGGCGGACAGAAGCCCAGGCUGACUGUGAAAAGAAGAGCAGCCAGGUGAAGGGCUUGAAGAGAAAAGGGGACUCUGUGGGGUUUCAGGAGGGCCCCUGGCAGUGAGCUGGCUGGAACCGCGAGCCACUGUCCCGCCCUCGCAGGCAUGUGGCAGAGCAGGGCUGCCCCAGCCCACUGCCCGCCGCACCUCCCUCCCACCCCAUUAAGGUAAUUACAGGUGACGCCAGCCAAGCGCCACGGCCCACAGGCCUGCCCACUGAGUAAUUUGUGUCUUAGCGGAACUGGGAGGACCGAACCUGCGCUACCAAUUAUUCCUCCUGAGUUGUCUGCUGGCUCCACCUGGGCCAGUCCCCUGGAUUCCAGGCCUCAUCCACGCUCCCACAGGGACAAAGGGCACCAUGGGAAGCCCGGGGUCCCGGACUCAUCAUGCCCCAGAAGGGUCCUGGUGGUCAGGGCCACUCAGGGACUCUCCUCCAGGCAGAUUCAGCCGCUGGUUGUGGGGAACGGGUGGUCCUAACCCUCCCUCCUUCAGGCCGGUCUGUCCCGGACACUGCGGCUGUUUGGGCUCCAGGCUCCCCACUCCUGUGGGCCGAGCCUGGCAGGCAGACAGGUGGGUGGGGCAGAGCAGGAGGAGGUCAGGGAGCAACAGGUGGAUGUGGCCUAACAGUCUCCUGGGCAGCCUGCCUGCCUGUGACGCAAGCCUCCCCGCAGCAGGGACCGCUCCUCACCGCUCCAAGCUCAGUUCACGGUGGCGCCUAGAGGGCUUGGGCUCCCCGGGUAGUGACACCAGCGACAGCGAGCAGACACCUCACACACGGGGGCUUGGACCCCGUCCCAACUAGAGAGGCGGGAGGUCUCCUGAGUGACAAAGAAGAGACGAGUCUCACACCCCAGAGCCAAGGCAAACAAUCUAAUGUUUCAACUUAGUGUUUUU